CCCUUAGAGUUUGAUCCUGGCUCAGAACGAACGCUGGCGGCAUGCCUAACACAUGCAAGUCGAACGAGACCUUCGGGUCUAGUGGCGCACGGGUGCGUAACGCGUGGGAAUCUGCCCUUGGGUUCGGGAUAACAGUUGGAAACGACUGCUAAUACCGGAUGAUGACUUCGGUCCAAAGAUUUAUCGCCCAGGGAUGAGCCCGCGUAGGAUUAGCUAGUUGGUGAGGUAAAGGCUCACCAAGGCGACGAUCCUUAGCUGGUCUGAGAGGAUGGCCAGCCACACUGGAACUGAAACACGGUCCAGACUCCUACGGGAGGCAGCAGUGGGGGAUAUUGCGCAAUGGGCGAAAGCCUGACGCAGCGACGCCGCGUGGGUGAUGAAGGCCUUCGGGUCGUAAAGCCCUGUCGAGGGGGACGAAACGGCUCCGACCUAAUACGUCGGGGUUCUGACGGUACCCCUAAAGGAAGCACCGGCUAACUCCGUGCCAGCAGCCGCGGUAAUACGGAGGGUGCGAGCGUUGUUCGGAAUCACUGGGUGUAAAGCGCGCGUAGGCGGUCUGCUAAGUCUGAUGUGAAAGCCCGGGGCUCACCCCCGGAAGUGCAUUGGAAACUGACAGACUGGAGUCCCGGAGAGGAAGGUGGAAUUCCUGGUGUAGCGGUGAAAUGCGUAGAUA
rnacentral:rRNA from 1 species